GCACCUAUAGCUCAAUUGGAUAGAGUUUCUGGCUUCGAACCAGAGGGUUAGAGGUUCAAUUCCUCUUAGGUGCA
rnacentral:tRNA from 1 species